CAACGAGCGCACCCUUGCCUUAGUUGCUACGAAAGGGCACUCUAAUGGGACUGCCGGUGACAAACCGGAGGAAGGUGGGGAUGACGUCAAGUCCUCAUGGCCCUUAUAGGUGGGGCUACACACGUCAUACAAUGGCUGGUACAGAGGGUUGCCAACCCGCGAGGGGGAGCUAAUCCCAUAAAGCCAGUCGUAGUCCGGAUCGCAGUCUGCAACUCGACUGCGUGAAGUCGGAAUCGCUAGUAAUCGCGGAUCAGAAUGUCGCGGUGAAUACGUUCCCGGGUCUUGCACACACCGCCCGU
rnacentral:rRNA from 1 species